rnacentral:rRNA from 1 species
AAUGGGGAAACCCAGCAUGAGUUAUGUCAUGUUAUCGAUAUGUGAAUACAUAGCAUAUCAGAAGGCACACCCGGAGAACUGAAACAUCUUAGUACCCGGAGGAAGAGAAAGAAAAUUCGAUUCCCUUAGUAGCGGCGAGCGAAACGGGAAGAGCCCAAACCAACAAGCUUGCUUGUUGGGGUUGUAGGACACUCUAUACGGAGUUACAAAGGACGACAUUAGACGAAUCAUCUGGAAAGAUGAAUCAAAGAAGGUAAUAAUCCUGUAGUCGAAAAUGUUGUCUCUCUUGAGUGGAUCCUGAGUACGACGGAGCACGUGAAAUUCCGUCGGAAUCUGGGAGGACCAUCUCCUAAGGCUAAAUACUCUCUAGUGACCGAUAGUGAACCAGUACCGUGAGGGAAAGGUGAAAAGCACCCCGGAAGGGGAGUGAAAUAGAACCUGAAACCGUGUGCUUACAAGUAGUCAGAGCCCGUUAAUGGGUGAUGGCGUGCCUUUUGUAGAAUGAACCGGCGAGUUACGAUUUGAUGCAAGGUUAAGCAGUAAAUGUGGAGCCGUAGCGAAAGCGAGUCUGAAUAGGGCGUUUAGUAUUUGGUCGUAGACCCGAAACCAGGUGAUCUACCCUUGGUCAGGUUGAAGUUCAGGUAACACUGAAUGGAGGACCGAACCGACUUACGUUGAAAAGUGAGCGGAUGAACUGAGGGUAGCGGAGAAAUUCCAAUCGAACCUGGAGAUAGCUGGUUCUCUCCGAAAUAGCUUUAGGGCUAGCCUCAAGUGAUGAUUAUUGGAGGUAGAGCACUGUUUGGACGAGGGGCCCCUCUCGGGUUACCGAAUUCAGACAAACUCCGAAUGCCAAUUAAUUUAACUUGGGAGUCAGAACAUGGGUGAUAAGGUCCGUGUUCGAAAGGGAAACAGCCCAGACCACCAGCUAAGGUCCCAAAAUAUAUGUUAAGUGGAAAAGGAUGUGGCGUUGCCCAGACAACUAGGAUGUUGGCUUAGAAGCAGCCAUCAUUUAAAGAGUGCGUAAUAGCUCACUAGUCGAGUGACACUGCGCCGAAAAUGUACCGGGGCUAAACAUAUUACCGAAGCUGUGGAUUGUCCUUUGGACAAUGGUAGGAGAGCGUUCUAAGGGCGUUGAAGCAUGAUCGUAAGGACAUGUGGAGCGCUUAGAAGUGAGAAUGCCGGUGUGAGUAGCGAAAGACGGGUGAGAAUCCCGUCCACCGAUUGACUAAGGUUUCCAGAGGAAGGCUCGUCCGCUCUGGGUUAGUCGGGUCCUAAGCUGAGGCCGACAGGCGUAGGCGAUGGAUAACAGGUUGAUAUUCCUGUACCACCUAUAAUCGUUUUA